rnacentral:rRNA from 1 species
AUGCAUUGGAUAUCAUGGGAUAAACUAGCUACACCGAAAUGCAAAGGUGGAAUGGGCUUUGGUGAUCUCCGCUUGUUCAACCUAGAUCUUUUGGGGAAGCACGGAUGGCGCUUUAUGACUAACCCCAACUCUCUAUGUGCCUGGGUUUUGAAGGGCCGUUACUUCCCAGAUUUUGAGUUUCAGCUUGCCACAAUACCAACAGCCGCAUCUGCUACUUGGCGAGCCAUCGUUGCCGGUCGAGAGGCGCUCGAUGCUGGCCUUAUCAAACGCGUGGGCACCGGUUCAACCAUAUCCAUAUGGGAUGAUCGAUGGAUUCCGUCGACAGUAUCUAUGACUCCCAUGCUGAGACCUCAAAAUGCAUCUGUUGAGUUGGUUGGUGAGUUGAUCGACACUGACAACUGGACAUGGAAGACGGAGUUAGUACAUGAGCUAUUUAUCGGCCCCGAUGCACAAGCUAUUCUGAAUAUACCUUUGCGCCAGGGGGGUGGUGAUGAUUUUAUGGCAUGGGCACACGAAAAAUCUGGCAUCUACACAGUUAAAUCGGCGUACCGGUCUCUAGUGAACAAAAAAGAGCGUUUUGCUCUCGAAGAAGGGACGGGUAUGGGGUCGUCAACUGACAACACAGAGCUAUGGCGUGCCUUAUGGAAACUCAAUGUGAUCCCUAAAGUUCGGGUCUUCUACUGGCGAGUCUUGAGAGGAAUUAUUCCGGUGGAAUGUACCUUAAAGCAUCGCCAUAUUCAGGAGAUCGGAAGAUGCAAAAUCUGCAUGGCCAUGGAUGAGGAUUUAGCUCACGCACUCAUUCAUUGUUCGCAUGCAAAGCAAUUCUGGGUGCAAGCUCAAUAG